rnacentral:rRNA from 1 species
UACGAAGGGGGCUAGCGUUGUUCGGAAUCACUGGGCGUAAAGCGCACGUAGGCGGAUUGUUAAGUCGGGGGUGAAAUCCUGAGGCUCAACCUCAGAACUGCCUUCGAUACUGGCAAUCUCGAGUCCGGAAGAGGUUGGUGGAACAGCUAGUGUAGAGGUGAAAUUCGUAGAUAUUCGCAAGAACACCAGUGGCGAAGGCGGCCAACUGGUCCGAUACUGACGCUGAGACGCGAAAGCGUGGGGAGCAAACAGG